rnacentral:lncRNA from 1 species
UGAAGAGGGAUUUUAUGAGAUUAAAAUACUUGAAUAGUGAAGCUGGGUGCAGUGGUGCUCACUCAUAAUCCCAACUACAAAAGAGUCUGAGGCAGGAGGAUCACUUGAGCCCGAGAGUUUGAGACCAGCCUGGGCAACAUAGCAAGACUCCAUUUUAUUAAAUGAAUUUUUUUAAAGUACCGGUAGUAAUUACAACGGCAAAGUAAUUUUCUAUUUUUUUCUUUCUGUUUUUAGGGUGGCUCCGGAUAUGAUUAUUCCUAUGCAGGGGGUCGUGGCUCAUAUGGUGAUCUUGGUGGACCUAUUAUUACUACACAAGUAACUAUUCCCAAAGAUUUGGCUGGAUCUAUUAUUGGCAAAGGUGGUCAGCGGAUUAAACAAAUCCGUCAUGAGUCGGGAGCUUCGAUCAAAAUUGAUGAGCCUUUAGAAGGAUCCGAAGAUCGGAUCAUUACCAUUACAGGAACACAGGACCAGAUACAGAAUGCACAGUAUUUGCUGCAGAACAGUGUGAAGCAGUAUGCAGAUGUUGAA